rnacentral:rRNA from 1 species
AUUGAACGCUGGCGGCAUGCUUUACACAUGCAAGUCGAACGGUAACAGGGAGCUUGCUCCGCUGACGAGUGGCGAACGGGUGAGUAAUGCGUCGGAACGUGCCGAGUAGUGGGGGAUAACGCAUCGAAAGGUGUGCUAAUACCGCAUACGUACUGAGGUAGAAAGUGGGGGACCUUCGGGCCUCACGCUAUUCGAGCGGCCGACGUCUGAUUAGCUAGUUGGUGAGGUAAAGGCUCACCAAGGCGACGAUCAGUAGCGGGUCUGAGAGGAUGACCGGCCACACUGGGACUGAGACACGGCCCAGACUCCUACGGGAGGCAGCAGUGGGGAAUUUUGGACAAUGGGCGCAAGCCUGAUCCAGCCAUGCCGCGUGUCUGAAGAAGGCCUUCGGGUUGUAAAGGACUUUUGUCGGGGAGGAAAUCCCCAGCGUUAAUACCGCUGGGGGAUGACAGUACCUGAAGAAUAAGCACCGGCUAACUACGUGCCAGCAGCCGCCGUAAUAC